GAGAGUAUAGCUCAAGAUGUAGAGUUCAUGCUUAGCAUGCAUAAGAUCCUGGGUUCAAUCCCUGGUACUUUCU
rnacentral:tRNA from 1 species